rnacentral:rRNA from 1 species
CACCGCGGUUACACGAGCGGGCUCAAGUUGACAAUCAUCGGCGUAAAGAGUGGCCAGCAAACCACCAAAAUAAAGCUAAACACUCUCAAAGCUGUUAUAUGCUAUUGAAAAUAGGAGGCCCUACUACGAAAGUGGCUUUAACCUUUGCGACCCACUAAAGCUAAGAUA